rnacentral:rRNA from 1 species
UGCGGAAGGGGCAAGCGUUGUUCGGAAUCAUUGGGCGUAAAGGGCGCGUAGGUGGUUCUGUAUGUCUAUCGUGAAAGCGUACGGCUCAACCGUAUUUUGUCGGUAGAAACUGCAGGACUUGAGGCUGGGAGGGGCUGGUGGAAUUCCCUGUGUAGCGGUGAAAUGCGUAGAGAUGGGGGAGAACACUCGUGGCGAAGGCGGCCAGCUAGACCAGUUCUGACACUGAGGCGCGACAGCGUGGGGAGCAAACAGG